rnacentral:lncRNA from 1 species
AGCAAUUUUAGUGGUUUUAACAACAGUAACCCAAAAAAUGCCUUGUGUGACGGGCAUUAAGAGAGAGGAAGAGGAACAAGUACCCAUUUUUAAUCUGCAAUCAAUACAAACAGUUAUCGGCAACCUCAUCCUUCAAUUCCAUUAAAAAUCAAUUCAAAAGCAUAAUAUAUUGGUCGCAAGUGAAAGAGAUGUUUUACCACAACCAAGAAGCUAUGUCCUGUAGGCUUUUUUCCUCACACUUCCAUGUGGGUGGGGUAUUUAUGUAGGUGGGUCUAGCACCAUCUCCAUGGGCAUGUGAUUGUUGGUUGAGAGAGAGAGAGAGAGAGAGGAUGGUGGAUUUCUGCCGUGGGAAAUGGCAGAGAAACCAUUCCAUCCCUCACUCCUUCAACCGCUAAGCCCAAG